CACGUAGGGGGCAAGCGUUGUCCGGAAUUAUUGGGCGUAAAGAGCUCGUAGGCGGCUCGGUAAGUCAGGUGUCAAAUCCUCAGGCUCAACCUGGGGCUCCACCUGAUACUGCUGUGGCUAGAGUCCGGUAGGGGGAGCGUGGAAUUCCUGGUGUAGCGGUGAAAUGCGCAGAUAUCAGGAGGAACACCAGCGGCGAAGGCGGCGCUCUGGGCCGGAACUGACGCUGAGGAGCGAAAGCGUGGGUAGCAAACAGG
rnacentral:rRNA from 1 species